GCCCUCUCCUCCUCCGUUCCCCUCUCCUCCCCCGUCGCCCUCGCCGCCCUCGCCUCCUCCUCCCAGCCCCCCGCCCCCGUCGCCCUCUCCCCCCCCUCCCUCGCCUCCCCCUCCCUCGCCUCCGCCUACCCCCAGCCCCUCGCCGCCUCCCAGCCCUCCUCCCUCCCCCUCGCCUCCUCCUCCCUCGCCCCCUCCUCCCUCGCCCGAGCCCCCGUCGCCCGAGCCUCCGUCGCCCUCCCCUCCCCCCCCGAGCCCCGGCACUGACAGCAAGGACACUCGCAGCGAGGGCCAGGUCCAGAUCAUCAAGUCAACCGGCGAGGACGAGAUCCUUCCCAACAUCGAUAGCCCUCCCCUCAUUCCUUCGGACACCCAGCCAUCUACUGGUCCUACCUCUGCCGCCGUUGAGGGCACGGGUAGCUUCACCGAGGUGGUGCCCGACUGUGUUGAGAACUGCGCCAUCGUCGGCGGUCCCGGCAAGGUCGAGGGCGGCUCUGCCGUGGGUGUGCCCGUUGAGGAGCUGAAGAACGUGGACACCAACGGCGGCAUGUCUGUGCCUCCCACCGUGCCCGAGGUCCCUGUGCCCACGGCCACCGUGGUCACCAACACCGACGGCUCCACCACCACCACCUACCCCAACGGCACCGUGGUCAUUGAGUGGAAUGACGGCACCACCAAGACCACCACCACGGACGGCACGACCAGCACCACGAAGGUUGACGGCACUGAGAUUGUGACCACCCCCAACGGCACCGAGACCACUACCAAGCCCAAUGGCGAGGUGAUCACCAAGUACCCCAACGGCACCAUCGUUGACGAGAAGCCUGGCGGAACCACCAUCACCACCACACCUGACGGCAAGACCGUGACUGAGAGCCCCGGCGGCACCGUCACCACCGUCACGCCCACUCCCAGCGGCGGCACCAACACCACCGUCGAGCAGCCCAACGGCUCCACCUCGACCACUAUCAAGGACUCCACCGGCAGCACCACCAGCUCCUCCACCAAGCAGCCCGACGGCACCAACUCCACUUCGACCACCACCUCUGGCGGCACCACCACCGUGGUCACUUAUCCCAACGGCACCAUUGACACGACCAACCCUGACGGCAAGGAGAUCAUUUCCUACCCCAACGGCACCACCGUGACCAAGAACACCGACGGCUCGACCAGCACCACCACCAGCUCCGGCACCACCACCGUCACCAACCCUGACGGCUCGACCAAGGUCACCACGUCUGACGGCACCUCCACCACCACCUAUUCCAACGGCACCGUCGUGACGGUCAAGACUGACAACACCACCACCUACACCUACCCCAACGGGACCACCAGCACCACAACUCCCGACACCACUGUCACCGUCAAGUACCCCGAUGGCUCCUCCACCGUUACCCAGCCCGGCGGCACCACGAUUGUGACGACCACCGACAAGACCGUCACGGUCACUGAGCCUGAUGGCACCAAGACUGUGAUCACGGUUGACGGCACCAAGACCGUCACUGAGCCUGAUGGCACCAAGACCGUUGAGAAGCCGGACGGCCAGGUC
rnacentral:lncRNA from 1 species